rnacentral:tRNA from 1 species
GCCAAUGUAGCUCAGUUGGUAGAGCAACGGUUUCGUAAACCGUAGGUCAUCGGUUCGACUCCGAUCAUUGGCUCCA